UACAGAGGGUGCGAGCGUUAAUCGGAAUUACUGGGCGUAAAGCGUGCGCAGGCGGUUUUGUAAGUCUGUCGUGAAAUCCCCGGGCUCAACCUGGGAAUUGCGAUGGAGACUGCAAGGCUAGAAUCUGGCAGAGGGGGGUAGAAUUCCACGUGUAGCAGUGAAAUGCGUAGAGAUGUGGAGGAACACCGAUGGCGAAGGCAGCCCCCUGGGUCAAGAUUGACGCUCAUGCACGAAAGCGUGGGGAGCAAACAG
rnacentral:rRNA from 1 species